CUUCCUCAAGGGUCAGAUGAUGGGUCUCCCCUUCUGCUCGGGGGUCACCUGAGGUGUGUGGGGAGCCCUCUGCCAUUGAUCCGGGACCUGUUUCUGCGGCUGUGAGGAGCAGCAGCUCCGGGGGCAAGGUCAAUGUUGAGGCAAGAGGGCCUCCUUCUUUUGCAGCACCACCCUGCACAACCAACCCUGUGGGCUCUGGGCCACAUCUGUCUCCUCCAUCCUGGAGGCCUCUAGGCCCUCACCCGCUGCCUCCACGUGUCCCACUCGGACACUCAUUUUGAAGGAGGACACUGAGCUGUGAUAAACAGACUGUGGCAAAUUAUUAUGGUUUUCCCUGCCGGAUCCUGCCCCCUCCACUUUUAUCUUUCCUGUUGUCACCCCUAAUACACUCUUUACAGUUCUAACUCAGUAUCAGCGUCUGCUUUUUGGAGGACCAUCCAACUCACCCCAGGGAGUGUAUACAGUGUGAUUCUUGUAUACAGUUCAAAAACAGGCAGAAACCACGGGGAUGGGGCAGA